AGCAGCCGCGGUAAUUCCAGCUCCAAUAGCGUAUAUUAAAGUUGUUGCAGUUAAAAAGCUCGUAGUUGAAUUUCGGAGUCAGUAGGCUGGUCGUGCCACAGGUAUGUACUGGUCUUACUGAUUCCUCCUUCCUGAUGAACCGUAAUGCCAUUAAUUUGGUGUUGCGGGGAAUCUGGACUGUUACUUUGAAAAAUUAGAGUGUUUAAAGCAGGCUAACGCUUGAAUACAUUAGCAUGGAAUAAUGAAAUAGGACGAUCGAUCCUAUUUUGUUGGUUUCUAGGAUUGACGUAAUGAUUAAUAGGGAUAGUUGGGGGCAUUAGUAUUCAAUUGUCAGAGGUGAAAUUCUUGGAUUUAUUGAAGACUAACUACUGCGAAAGCAUUUGCCAAGGAUGUUUUCAUUAAUCAAGAACGAAAGUUAGGGGAUCGAAGACGAUCAGAUACCGUCGUAGUCU
rnacentral:misc_RNA from 1 species